CCCUUAGAUGUUCUGGGCCGCACGCGCGCUACACUGAUGCAUUCAACGAGCCUAUCCUUGACCGACAGGUCCGGGUAAUCUUUGAAUCUGCAUCGUGACGGGGAUAGAUUAUUGCAAUUAUUAAUCUUCAACGAGGAAUGCCUAGUAGGCGCAAGUCAUCAGCUUGCGUCGAUUACGUCCCUGCCCUUUGUACACGCCGCCCGUCGCUCCUACCGAUUGGGUGUGCUGGUGAAAUGUUCGGAUCGGCCGUUUGUCGCGGUUUCCGCGUCAUGUGGCUGAGAAGUUCAUUAAACCCUCCCACCUAGAGGAAGGAGAAGUCGUAACA
rnacentral:rRNA from 1 species